GGAGGGGUUCCCGAGUGGCCAAAGGGAUCAGACUGUAAAUCUGACGGCUCCGCCUUCGAUGGUUCGAA
rnacentral:tRNA from 1 species